CCUGGUCAGUUACUAACAAACAUGAUGUACUAUUUCACCUUGAUGCUGAUUUUCAUCGCCCCUUCAUGUGUCCUUUCCCAAGUCACACUGGUGGAGUCUGGCCCAGGGACAGCAAGGCCAGGAGAGUCCAUCAAGCUGACCUGCACCGUCACUGGAUACUCCAUCUCUAGCGGCUACUAUUGGAGCUGGAUCCGGCAACCUCCUGGCAAAGGCCUAGAAUGGCUGGCAGCUAUACAUUAUUCUGGAAGCCCCAUUUAUUACGCCGCCUCACUCAAAAGCAGAAUUUUGAUCUCCAAAGACAACAGCAAGAAUGAGUUCUACCUGCAGGUGUCCUCCCUCACUGCUGCAGACUCUGCCCGAUACUACUGUGCGAGAGGCACAGCGAAAGAACUAAAGGGAGAGGCCAUACAAAAAGGGGAGAGACUUUUCUGGUAG